AUAUAAUGCAGAGACCAGACAUAGAGGCUUGAGCAAGAGGAGACCUUAGUGAAAAAUCCAUGAUUUCCUCAAGGAGUGUUGCACACUGUCCUUCCUGGCUGCUAAACCAACAUUUUUCCGUUAUGAGCCCAUCCACGGCAAGUUGCAGGCAGCUCAGCUUCUACUGAGGAAUUUCAUUCUGCCCUAUGGAGCAACACAUGUAACUCAUCACAGAAAUGGGCUCGAUUCAGACCAGUCACCAAUCUCAUUGAAGUUAA